rnacentral:lncRNA from 1 species
CUCGGUUAUUAGACUUUUGACGAUGUGAAUUUAAGCAUGGAUGCAAUUUGGGUACUCCUCAUUACAGAAUCAUGGAUAGUUUGGAGGUUGAUUCAAACCCAUUUUUUUUAUGACUCAAUAUGGAUUAAAAAUCAAAUUGGUGAACCUAUACAGUAAAGAAGGAUAGGGCUACAAAAUAAACCCAGUAUGGACAUUUUUUUCUUGAUCAUAAAACAACGUAGGUGAAAAA